rnacentral:rRNA from 1 species
GAUGAACGCUGGCGGCGUGCCUAAUACAUGCAAGUCGAGCGAACGGACGAGAAGCUUGCUUCUCUGAUGUUAGCGGCGGACGGGUGAGUAACACGUGGAUAACCUACCUAUAAGACUGGGAUAACUUCGGGAAACCGUAGCUAAUACCGGAUAAUAUUUUGAACCGCAUGGUUCAAAAGUGAAAGACGGUCUUGCUGUCACUUAUAGAUGGAUCCGCGCUGCAUUAGCUAGUUGGUAAGGUAACGGCUUACCAAGGCAACGAUGCAUAGCCGACCUGAGAGGGUGAUCGGCCACACUGGAACUGAGACACGGUCCAGACUCCUACGGGAGGCAGCAGUAGGGAAUCUUCCGCAAUGGGCGAAAGCCUGACGGAGCAACGCCGCGUGAGUGAUGAAGGUCGUCGGAUCGUAAAACUCUGUUAUUAGGGAAGAACAUAUGUGUAAGUAACUGUGCACAUCUUGACGGUACCUAGCAGAAAGCCACGGCUAACUACGU